CCCUGACAGCCAUUGGCUGACACACCCAAAGACAGGAGAUCAAAAUG
rnacentral:ncRNA from 1 species